rnacentral:rRNA from 1 species
UACGUAGGGGGCUAGCGUUGUCCGGAAUCAUUGGGCGUAAAGCGCGCGUAGGCGGCCAGAUAAGUCCGGUGUGAAAGCCACAGGCUCAACCUGUGAAUGCCGCUGGAAACUGUCUGGCUAGAGUCCGGGAGAGGCGAGUGGAAUUCCCGGUGUAGCGGUGAAAUGCGCAGAUAUCGGGAGGAACACCUAUGGCGAAGGCAGCUCGCUGGGACGUUACUGACGCUGAGACGCGAAAGCGUGGGGAGCAAACAGG